ensembl:lncRNA
GGAGAAGGAAGUAACAAUCCACUGCAGUAUUCUUGCCUGGAGAAUCCCAUGGACAGAGGAGCCUGGUGGGCUGCGGUCCACGGGUUCGACACGACUGAGCGACUUAGCGUGAGCACGAUGGUCUGUGUGCUCAGUUAGGUCUGACUCUUUGCAGCCCCAUGCACUGUGGCCCACCAGGCUUCUCUCUCCAUGGGAUUUCCCAGGCAAGAGUACUGGAGUGGGUUGCCAUUUCCUUCUCCGGGGAUCUUCCCAACCCAGGGAUUGAACCCACAUCUCCUAUGUCUUCUGCAUUGCAGGCAGAUUCUUCAUACCACUAAGCCACCCAGAAGCCCAUUUAGUACUCUGCAUACAUUAAAAAAUUGGAGGCCACCAUUACUGAUCCAUAUUGGAAUGAAAGAGUUAAUGGAAGACACAAACAAAUGCAUUUGAUUUUUCUUCUGGGAAGAGAGACCUGAUUGAACCAGUCAUGAAAAAUAAGCAAGUGGACUGUCCCAACUGGGCUCUGCUGAGAACUGCUCCUUGUUCUGGGGACUAGAAAGAAGAAGAGGACAUUAAAGACGGUCUUGAGUGGCCCGUCAUCAAGGCGUCUUUCUCAAGUCACAGUCUUCAGGCCACAGGAUGCUCUUGUUCACUAGCAAUGACAAGAAGCUGCUUUUCCGUAGCUGGAUGAUUUCACGUGGCUCUAGCAGUUCAAAUUUUCUAGAAAUGUCAGCCCUCCAAAAUCCCUAUCCUGGACUAGAAGAAAUGCAAAAGCCAGUGCUUCCUCUUCUACCUGGACCGGAUCCACCACAGUGGCUCUUCACCUCCUUCUCACAUAAGACUCAAAAUAACCCAAUUGGGCCAAAGGGCAACCCUGCUUUCUUCAUUUUAUGGAUUAAAAAUCGAAGCCCGAGGCAUGAAAUGAUCCAUUUAUCAAGGUUAGUAUCAGUCUCCCUGUCUCAUUUUUUCCUCUCUCUGGGUUCUUUGGUUCCAAAGCUGGACUUCUUUUCUUAUGGAGGGAGCCAGUCUCACUUGAUUUCCUUGAGUAAUCUUGACCCAAGAAGUAUUUAAGUGAACGUUGGGUCCAAGCCCACCCACUCCAGCAGAACCUGUGAGGCUUCCUGAUUGCGUUUUCUGUUUCAGAUGACCUGGAAUUUCCCCCGAGCUUGGUAUUCUCUCCCUGCAGCUCCUCUUUCCCAGCAGUAGUGAGUCUAAGAAUACACCUGCCGCCCCCCAGGGCUUCCUCCAGGUCACAAGAGCCUCCGACUUAGCCCAGCAACUUGGGCACAGGUGACUUCCCCAAAACGGGACUGAACAUUAUGGUGACUUUGGAUUUAAUCACUUUCCCACAGAGUGUGGCUCUCCCCUGUGCUCCAGUUUGUCUGUUCACCAUCUUCCUUGCCUCCCCCACUAACCCACAGACACUUGUUCCGCUUCAGAAGCCCUUUCCUGUCAUUUCUGGACUACCCCACAGCCACACCCCCCCAGAAGACGUCAGAUGUGUUCGUCCUGCGUCGGUCGUGGCAGCAGGACCAAAGCUGACAGCCAGCGUUCUCAGUACCCUCGGAAAGGGGGCUGCUGACACCACCAGCAACCAGAGCCAACACGGUUUAUUCAUCUGUUAAAUCAAGAGUGAUGGGAAGACGGUCCAUCCCAGGCGGCGUGUUUUGCACCAGGCAAAUAAUGACGAAUCAUGUGUAAAAUGUUAUAAUUGAAGGCAUACGCCUUCCUCUGAGAAGGAUUCUAGGUGAAAUUCAGAGUGGUUAUUUAUAGACCUGGAGACCAAAGACUGAAGGGCAGGGGAGUGAGGCAUUUUAGAAAAAUAUUUUUCUAGGAAAGGAGAGAGAAAGGACACGGAUCAGGUUAGCCGAGGCGGGAACAUGCACGCAAGGGGAGGAGCGGAGGACGAGGCAGGUUCAGAAGAGCUUUGGAAGGGUGGAAACUUGGACUCUCCAAGAUGGGGAGGGACUGGUGCAGAGAUGUGGUUAGAACUGAAGCCUGGAAUCAGUCCUGGCAAGGCCCCUGCUCCUGGCACGUUGGGGAAGAUGGAUGAAAGGGCGAGUGAGAUGAAGGCAAGGGAAAUUGAGUCAUUGCCCCCCAACGCUCACUCACUGCCGAGGGCAGUGCGCAAACAGCUCAGAAAGAACUCAUGACCGGGGAGGCUCAGGGAAGGCAAAGCCCCUUGCUUCCAGUUCCUGUUUGAAAAUAUAAACAACAUGCAAAUUCAAAUAAAAAAAUUCUUCCUGUGUCA